UACGUAGGUCCCGAGCGUUGUCCGGAUUUAUUGGGCGUAAAGCGAGCGCAGGUGGUUUAUUAAGUCUGGUGUAAAAGGCAGUGGCUCAACCAUUGUAUGCAUUGGAAACUGGCAGACUUGAGUGCAGGAGAGGAGAGUGGAAUUCCAUGUGUAGCGGUGAAAUGCGUAGAUAUAUGGAGGAACACCGGUGGCGAAAGCGGCUCUCUGGCCUGUAACUGACACUGAGGCUCGAAAGCGUGGGGAGCAAACAGG
rnacentral:rRNA from 1 species